rnacentral:tRNA from 1 species
UACAUACUAGCUCAUGGUUGAGCAUUUCUCUUUAAAGAAAAGGUCACGGGUUCAACUCCCGUAUAUGUACCCA